UACGAAGGGGGCUAGCGUUGCUCGGAAUCACUGGGCGUGAAGGGUGCGUAGGCGGCUCUUUAAGUCAGGGGUGAAAUCCUGGAGCUCAACUCCAGAACUGCCUUUGAUACUGAGGAUCUUGAGUUCGGGAGAGGUGAGUGGAACUGCGAGUGUAGAGGUGAAAUUCGUAGAUAUUCGCAAGAACACCAGUGGCGAAGGCGGCUCACUGGCCCGAUACUGACGCUGAGGCACGAAAGCGUGGGGAGCAAACAGG
rnacentral:rRNA from 1 species